UACGUAGGGUGCGAGCGUUGUCCGGAAUUAUUGGGCGUAAAGAGCUCGUAGGCGGUGUGUCGCGUCGGCCGUGAAAACCUGCAGCUUAACUGUGGGCUUGCGGUCGGUACGGGCAUCACUGGAGUUCGGCAGGGGAGACUGGAAUUCCUGGUGUAGCGGUGAAAUGCGCAGAUAUCAGGAGGAACACCGGUGGCGAAGGCGGGUCUCUGGGCCGAUACUGACGCUGAGGAGCGAAAGCGUGGGGAGCGAACAGG
rnacentral:rRNA from 1 species